GCCUCGGUUGGGAUCGCUGCUUACCGCAGGGAAGUCCUGCUGGUUUGAAAUUGCCUUCACCUCCUAGGAAACCUGGAAAAAAGUGCUGCCCUAGCUCACGCUGCUGUUUAGGCGAAACUAGAAAUUAAAUAGGUUCAGGAUUUUCUUUCGAAAUGCCCUCUCGGAUAAACCGGUUCACGUGUGGAAAUAGCGUCUGUUGCCCUCGGCUUCGACUUUAUUUUUUUAAGUCUUUAGGUAUCCGACUCGGGUUGAAAUCGGUGCCUGGCAUCUGAACAGUUCUGAAAACCAAUCCUGUAUUGUUUUGAAUUAAAACGGAAAUAUUUUUCUGCCAUGGGGCCCGCAGCCCUGGGGGAGAGGAAGGGCAGAUGCGUAGGGAGCGUCACUUCUUCAUUUGCUGCAGCUAGGCUUGUCCAGUCUCACAGGCUGGAAAACUAGGUAUUUGAAAAAAAUUAAGUGGCCUAGUAUUUAGUAACUCAUACCAUCAAACCUCGUGUUUUAUACUUGAAGGCAGAAGAAGCCGAAAGCGCUGUGCACAUCUCUGCUUUGUUGGAGGCAGGGCGGCGGAAGGUGUCCGUGGCAAUUUUAUCUAUUUCUGUGAUGUUUUUGUUUACCUUCAAAGGAAUCUGCAUCCAGACUUUCUUGACUGGAGACUUGUGGCUUCGUACAAGGGAAGGAGGAAUCAUCCUCAGCAUUUCAUUUAGGGCUGCUUUGUCUCCAAUUCGCAGCUCAUUAGAAGGUAUGUAACUCUUCAGUCGUGUUAUUUAACAGGUAUGUUCUCAUGGUGCUAUUAAUGCCCUCUAGACUGAGUAAUUCCUGGCACAAGAAAGAUUUCAGAGACUAUUAACAUAGAAGUCUGUUGUAUGGAAGUCUAGACGGAAGUCUGUUCCCAUGGGUAUUGCACACAUUGGGUCAUGUAACACCUAAUAAUAACCUUGCCAAUCUCUAUUUUGGACUCACCUCCUAGGAGGCCUGUAAACUUCACACAGAUAGCCAAAUCACUGUCCAGACAUGUUUUCAGGUGGAAAAAGAGGACAGUUUGGAAACACCCAGAUGUAAGUAGUUCCAGACUUUCCUCAUCCUCCUAGAUACAGGCAAUACCUGCUAACUUGAUGCUGUCAGGAGAUGUCAUCGGUGGUGCAUGCUUGCUUUUGCGGUGGUUGUGAAUAAAAGCAUGAAACAACAUUGGAAGAAAAUGCUGAUCCUUGUGGAACUCUGCCAGUAAUGCCUUGGCAGCGCGAUACAUUUUCAACAGUUAUUCGGUACUAGAAAUUACUUACAGCUAAUAUUUUGUAUCCUAGCCCUAAUUCUUGAAGGAGCUCUGCAGAGGACUGCCUGCUUAGAAUGGAUUACAGGAUUAAAAUCUUAAGUGUUUGUCCUUUUUGUUUUUCCUAAUAAUUGUAAUAUCACAAUUUCUCAUCACAAGGUGUGGGAGGAACUAGAGUGCUUUAAAAUUAGAAAUGCAGCGUGCAUCUUUGAAAUCUGAAAUAAUAGAUCUCACAUAUAUGCAAAGGAAUUGUAGUUAAUAUGAUUAAAUUCUGUUUCCAUGCAAGAGUCUGUAAAGUAGCAGAAUGCCCUGAGUAUUUUAAGAUUGUAUUGGCUGUUUUCUUUCCUCCUAGAAUGUUACAUGAGUAUGGAAGACUUUUGCAAAACUAAGGGGUGUUACAUUUAAAGUAUUUGAAGGAUUUGAAAGUCCUGCCAAGAGGCUCAAAUGAUCUUUAAAUUUUGGAUGCUGCCUUUUUAAUGUUCAGUGUUUGUAAUAACUAGCUCCUGCAAUUACACAACCUUUAUUUUGAGCACAGGAAAAGGGGCUCCAGUACUCCCAUAUUGAAGGCAGUCUAGCAUAAUGACCAGUCUUGAAAAUCUGAUCUUUUGUUUUUUGUUUUUUAGGGUUGAAAGCUUAGGUUAAAUUCUGUCCCACUGACAUCAGAAGUGGAGCUAGAAUGAUUGCGGAGGAAUCUGAAUUUCACUGUUGAAGUUUGAUCACGUAGGCGUUGUCAAGCGGACUCGCAAAGAAGUUGAGCCAGGGUUUGUAGAUAUGGCAGAAACAAUGUCGACGGUGAUUUUCAAGGAGGCUUUUUGAGUCUAGAGGCAAAGCUUGCUCAGUACUUCUCUUCAUUAAUAGCCUCCUGGAAGACAGUAGAACUACUUACAAAGUAAAACACUAUUUGUUGGAGGAAUAUUGGAAUCCAUCUUAACCUCUUAUGUAACUUUUGUGAGAAGAAUUACAAAAAUUAAGCAUAUAAUUACAGUUACAAUUUUGACAAAAGCUCAGUAGAGAAGACCAAAUGGAGAUGUCAACUGUGUGAGCACGGGCUGUGGACAAGGAACAUAUGGUUGGGUUGAAUAAUUGUCUACGUACCGGACUGUCUGUGACUGUUUAACAGAGUCUAUGGGAUGAGCUGGGUACACAGUGCUCCAUCGUUUUGAGCGUCUCCAAACUCUACAUUUUUUUUGAGUCUAUUAAGUUUUCCACUUAUGAAAUAUAUUAUGGCUGAAGGUCGAAGGAAGACAUUCAACCUUUGCCCACUUAUGGCAAUUACUCUGGAGACAACCACUGCUUGGAAAACAAGUAUUAUGAGCUACCUGUAAGUUCUGAUUCACCUAAUAGAUAAGGAGCCAGAGAUACUUCUGAACUCACGAAUGAAAAUUUUUUCGCUCAUUGUCUGCUGCUCUUUUAAAUGUAAAGCAAAGAGUGAAGUGUUCAUGUAUUCUAUGUAUAACAGCUGACAUGUUUUCUGCAUUCCUGUAUUUGCCUAAAAAGUCAUGGAUUAACAACUUAAUUUGAUGUGCAAAAUAUAAUGCGUGGAUGAACUCUGAUACAUAGCCGUUGCCAUAUCCCUGCUGUUAUGAGAGGCAAAGACUACUAGAAAAGAAACUGUCACGAAAUUCUUCCCGAUAAUUUUGUCAUCAAUUUUUCUCCAAUAAUAUAUCUGUAGGUGGAUUCCACAGAUGUUUUUUUCCCCUGAAUGGCUGGUUCUGUGUGUGAGUUAUGUUUCUCACUGUCCUUCUUGCUGUAUUAGUAAUCAGACCUAUCUUAUAAUUUCAGAUGUUCAGUCCCUAUAUUCUUAACUAAGAAAAGCUAAUCCGAAACAUUUACUUUUCAAACCUUUUUUAUUAUUUAAAUGUAUACUUAAAAUAAUAAUAAUAAUUUUCUACAUAUGUUACAAAUAACUCCCCGUAUUAUUACUGUCGUGAUGCAGAACAGGCAGGAGCCAGCAGCAUAGAGAGACAGAAGUGAUUGUAACAGAGGUUAAUGUUUUACAAGUAAUAACUUGGGUGUAGUGAGACUUAUGGUCUUAAUUAACUCUCUGAAUGUUUUUCAACACAACCGAAGUAAAUAAUUUUAAAAUCUAAUUUACUUGUCCUUAUGCUAUCCGUUUACUCUUUGCCUUGCUGCUUUUGAAUGACAAAAACUAGUCCGUUUUGCUUAGAUUUUAGAGAAUCUCACACAGAUUAGAGCAUCUAUUCUUCUAGCAAAAAAGCAGCUGUAUAUGAGUAAAAUGAUAAUCCUGACCAGGGAAAAUAAAUCAGCCCAUGAGAUGUGGCUUAGUUCUAUAUUUGCGUUCCUUUCUUGGAAAUCCUUACGCUGGCCAGAAUAGCCAUCAGCAUUACGUAGACUGGCAAAAUUUGGUCAUUAUAUUUCAGAUAGUUGGUGUCCUUUUGCUGGAAAGAAGCAGCUGGAUAUUUUCUGUCAUAAUGUGACCAAUCCACCUCUGUUGUUGUCAUUUUAAUUGCUGUGGCUGUUUUUUUAAGUCCUCUACAGAAGGUCUUUGUAGUGACAAGCGAACAGUUUACGCUUCAUAAGCAAACAUAAAGAAAGCUGCUGCUAAUUGGAGAGGGAGUAAUGCAGUUAUGAUUCCAUCAACAUUUAAGUUACAUUGUUAAAGGAUGCAUUUUGGUUGUGUUUAUGUUGCCAUAUAAAAUUCUACUCAGGAUGAAUUUGGUGGGGAAGAUUUUAUAAUAGAAAAGACUAAUUCCGGGAUCAUGGGAAACAGAGGGAGGAAAGGGUGGAAGGAAGGGAAAGAAGUGAAAAUUUUCUAACCUAUGUAUAUAAUAUUAAAGAUCAGAAUCUUACUACUCUUUUUAUUUCUUAUGAUAAAUGUUACUUAACUGGUGGCUUGUACUGUAGCUUGUCUUUAAAAGCAGAAAGACCUUCUCACAGCCCCCAAAAGCUCGCUUUACCUUGCCCUGAAGAACUGUAGCCACAAUGUUUCAUGCUGAAGAGGACUCUUGAAAGUCACCAGUAGUGUCCUUUAAUGUCCUGAAGGAAGGAAUCAUUGUUCAGUAAUUUACUCUCUUUUGUUUUUUUCCUAGAGAUUUUGCAUGUUAUAGCUGUAUCUGUUCACCUCCCAGCUUCUAAAAGUCUGAAGAAUCUUGUUUUAAACUUUCUUCUUUUCCAUAAAUUACACUUCCAUGGAAUAUUUGGCUGCAGAUGAAUAGUUUUACAGCUACAUGUCCAAACUUGUUUCUUCUAAGUGCCUUUUUUUUUUUUCUAUUUGUGUGUCU